rnacentral:rRNA from 1 species
GAGAUACUACGGCGUCGAAGCAGUCUAUGUCAUACUUCCAAGAAAAGCUUGCACUGUCAUAAACAAAUAAUGCCUGUACCAUAACCGACACAGGUGGGUAGGUAGAGUAUACUAAGGGGCGCGAGAUAACUCUCUCUAGGAACUCGGCAAAAUGACUCCGUAACUUCGGGAGAAGGAGUGCCUUAUUUAUAAGGUUGCAAUAACAAGAUCCAAGCAACUGUUUACCAAAAACACAGGUCUCCGCUAAGUCGUAAGACGAUGUAUGGGGGCUGACGCCUGCCCAGUGCCAGAAGGUUAAAGAAGUUGGUUAGCAUCCGCGAAGCUGAUAACUGAAGCCCUGGUGAACGGCGGCCGUAACAAUAACGGUCCUAAGGUAGCGAAAUUCCUUGUCGGGUAAGUUCCGACCCGCACGAAAGGCGUAAUGAUUUGGAUACUGUCUCGGAGAGGGGCUCGGUGAAAUAGACUUGUCUGUGAAGAUGCGGACUACCUGCACCAGGACAGAAAGACCCUAUGAAGCUUUACUGUAACCUGAAAUUGAAAUUGGACUUUACUUGCGCAGUAUAGGUGGGAGGCGUUGAGAAUAUUCUUGCGGGAUUAUUGGAGCCAUCAGUGAGAUACCACUCUUGUAAUGUUAGAUUUCUAACUUUGUAUCAUUAUCUGGUCAAAGAACAGUUUCAGGCGGGCAGUUUGACUGGGGCGGUCGCCUCCUAAACGGUAACGGAGGCGCACAAAGGUUUCCUCUGAACGGGUAGAAAUCGUAUCUAGAGUGUAAAGGCAUAAGGAAGCUUGACUGUGAGACCUACAAGUCGAGCAGGGACGAAAGUCGGUCUUAGUGAUCUGACGGUGCUGAGUGGAAAGGCCGUCACUCAACGGAUAAAAGUUACUCUAGGAUAACAGGCUGAUCUCCCCCAAGAGUUCACAUCGACGGGGAGGUUUGGCACCUCGAUGUCGGCUCAUCGCAUCCUGGGGCGGUAGUACGUCCCAAGGGUUGGGCUGUUCGCCCAUGAAAGCGGUACGCGAGCUGGGUUCAGAACGUCGUGAGACAGUUCGGUCCAUAUCCGGUGUAGGCGUUAGAAUAUUGAGAGGAGCCUUCUUUAGUACGAGAGGACCGAGAAGGACAUACCUCUGGUGUACCAGUUAUCGUGCCAACGGUAAACGCUGGGUAGCUAUGUGUGGAGUGGAUAACCGCUGAAAGCAUCUAAGUGGGAAGCCCACCUCAAGAUAAGUAUUCUC